CGCCUAGCUGCCAAAUCUUAGAAUGAGGCCUAGUGAGUGAGAACUAAACUCUGAUCUUUUUUCUUUCUUGUCCAAAUUCCUAUCUACAGAACUUGGGGAGUCAUGUCCUACAAGCCAUAAAAAUCUCAUCAGAUGGGUUUUGUUGAAGCCUAUAUAACCCAGCUUACUUUCCAACCUGACUAGCAUAAUAUCACAUGACAGAUAAAGAAGGAAAUCAAAAUAUUUUUUCCCAAAAUAUGUUUCUUUGUUAUAUUUUGAAAUGGUCCUGCAACGUCGUCGCUUAUGGGGAGAAAUCUACAUCUGUAAAGAAGCUGGCUGGUGGCUCACGCCUGUAAUCUCAGCACUUUGGGAGGCCGAGGCAGGCAGAUCACCUGAGGUCUGGAGUUCCAGACCAGCCUGGCCAACACGGUGAAACCCCGUCUCUACUGAAAAUACAAAAAUUAGCUGGGCAUGGUGGCGCAUGCCUGUAAUCCCAGCUACUUGGGAGGCUGAGGCAGGAGAAUUACUUGAACCCAGGAGGCAGACGUUGCACUGAGCAGAGAUGGCGCCACUGCACUCCAGCCUGGGCGAUAGAGUGAGACUCCGUCUCAUAAAUAAAUAAGUAGAUCUUUCCCCUGGCAGGCCCUCCCAAUCCUGAAGAGAUUAACUGAGGAUCCAAUACUUGCUCUGUCACCCAGGCUGGAGUACAGUGGCGUGGCAUGUGAUCUCAGCUCACUGCAACCUCUGCCUCCUGGGUUCAAGGGAUUCUCCUGCCUUAGCCUCCCAAGUAGCUGGGACUACAGGCGUCUGCCACCAUGCCUAGCUAAUUUUUGUCUUUUUAGUAGAGAUGGGGUUUCACCAUGUUGGCUGGGUUGGUCUUGAACUCUUGACCUCAGGUGAUCUGCCUGCCUUGGCCUCUCAAAAUGCAGGAUUACAGGUGUGAGCCGCUGUGUCUAGCCUAAAUUUUUUUUUUUUUUCUGAGACAGGGUCUUGCUCUGUUGCCCAGGCUGGUGUGCAGUGGCAUGAUGUGGGCUCACUGAAACCUCUGCCUCCUGGGCUGAAGCAAUCCACAGCCUCAGCCUCCCAAAGUGUUGGGAUUAUAGGUGUGAGCCACCGCAUCCAGCUUCUAGUACUUUUGGGUGGCCACCUAUGAGACUUCAUACUAACCCUGGUGUCC
rnacentral:lncRNA from 1 species